GCUGAGUGCGUAAGGGUCUGCCUCGGGUCUUCCCGGCGCGGCGGAGGGGAAUGUGGCAGCGCUGUGGUCCGCCAACUAGGCGUGACGGCGUGUGCGGGGCGAGAAUGCUUUUUUGGGACGAGGGCCCGUGGUGCCAGUGAGGUCCCCACAGGAGUGCGGUCCGGGACCCCGAAACGCUUGCGAACCGAUGGUCGGGCUGAGACCCGUGACCCCCGCGAGGGCUGGAGCAGCCGACCGUGAACCGGAAGGGGCGGGGCUGGGGCGGCCGUGGGCAUCAGCUCGGGAUCGGCAGUGACUUGCCGCUGCUUCCCCAGGGACUCUCAGGACCAUCGCCACUUGAAGCCAAGGGGAAGAGGGAGGGUGUCCUCUGUGGGGGCCAGGCUUUGCAUAGAGUGACUCGGGAGUGGUGGCGGUCUGGGAAAGGUCACCACCCUUUGAUCCAGUCCUGGGGCAGACACUUAACCUGGUCAGUGCCCUCCCCCGCCAGUUUGCAGGUUAGAAAACUGAGCCUCUAGUUGGUUAAACUAUCAAGGCCAAAAUUAUCCUGCCAGUGGUGAAAGAAGUUGGGAUUUGGAUGCAAGUCUGGUUUCAAAGACUGAUCUUUUCCUCUUCACAGUGGAACUCGAGAGAGAAAAGAUUUGGGACCAGGAGCGUAGUCUGCCCUUUUCCUCUUAAGCAAUACUCCCAAGGUCUUAUCAGCUCAAACUUUCAUUCCUGCUUUCAUUUCUUCAACAGCUGUAGAGCACCUAUGACGUGAGCGCUGGGGCAGCAGGGGUCAUGGAGCUUCCAUUCCAGCAAGGGGGGAGAGCAUUCUCAGUGCUGAGACAGAGUAGAAAGAACAUGCGGUAUAGAGCAUGGCUGGGUAAUGAAGCCGACUUCAGUGGGUAGACAGGAGGGAGGGGACAGUUGAGUUGUCACUUGAUGAUAGGGAUGCAGCCCUGAGAGGACAGGACAGAGAGUUUCAGGCAGAGGAAGACCUUGGAGUCACGUGAGUCAGCUUCACCCAUCUGGGCCAGUCCUUCAGGGGAGGGGACGCUGUGGAGGUAGUUGGUGCUCCAGGCUGAGGUCUGGCUCCAUACUGUGAAUCCAUCUCAGCUCCAGCCAGGGAGCACCUGGCCUGGCCUUUGGGGACUUUGGAGCUCCUCCCCUCACCUGUCUUCAGUGAAAUGGAAAUCAGGUGCAGGCAGCCCAACUUCUCAUCUGACUUCUCUCUAAAUAAGCGGAGAGCCUUUUCGACACAGUCGAUGCGCACACGUCAUGGUGACAGGUACAUCUUGUGGGUUCAUAACUGCCUUACUGCGGAAACCAGCAGGAGAUGGACCAGGUUGUUUGCUGUUUCUGGCUACUUGAGCUUGUGUUAUUUUGAACCAGGUCUAAAUCCUUCUUUGCCUGCUCUGUGAUGAUGGAGAUGGGCUGUGGAAAUAUUUCACCUGCGACAUUUGGUAUGAUGUAAUGCCAGUAGAGGAGGCUGGAAGGACAGUGAAAAAGGAAGGAAUUUCCUCUUCCUGUUUCCCGAGUCCUGCAGGGUGCAGGGUCUCCUGCACUGGCCUCCUACAGGGUGCAGCUUUCUCCGUUGCCUGGCUCCUGCAGAGGGCAGCUUCCCCAGCUCCCAGUUCUGGUAGCUCAGGGCAACCAGCAGAGCCCAGCUGCUAGAAGCUUCCCUCAGAACUUUCUCAAAGUGACGUGCCACUGGCAAGGCACCUGACUGUGAACGGCUUCUUUGAGCAUCCCUCAGUUGACUUUGCAGCAACUUCCAAGGUAUGGUACCUCCCUGUGGACAACAUCCCCCAUUCUCCCAAAGGGCCCUUUUCUAGUACCCUCCGGUAAGCCAUCUAGGUGUCAUCCCCACCAUCCACGGAACCACACUGUGCUCUUUCCAACAAGGUCUGGAGCUUCUCCUUGGACACUCCAUCUCAGCCCUGCCAGUAGCUCCUAUCCCUGUAUUCACCAGUGUUCUCUAACUUCUACCAGUCAAUUCUCCAUUACUCCAAUCUCCUGUUAAUAAUUCUCCUGAAUGCUCCCUGACGGAUAUUGACUUAUAUCCAGAAUAUAUAAAGAAAACUCAAAACACAAUAACAAGUAAAACACACAAACUGCUUAAAAAAUGAAGAAAAGGGACUUCCCUGGUGGUCCAGCAGUUAAGACUCCACACUCCCAAUGCAGGGGGCCUGGGUUCGAUCCCUGGUCAGGGAACUAGAUUCCACAUGCCGCAACUAAAAGAUUCCGCAUGCUGCAACUAAAAGAUCCCACAUGCCACAACUAAAGAUCCUGCAUGCCACAACAAAGACCUGGCCCGGCCAAAUAAAUAAAUAUUUUUAUGAAUAAAUAAAUAAAUUUCCUUAAAAAAAUGAAGAAAAGAUUUAAACAGACACUUUACCAAAUAAGAUGUAUGGAUGGCAUAUAGGCACAUAAAAAGAUCCUCAAUACGAUUAGUCAUCAAGCAAUUGCAAAUUAACACCACAAUGACAUACUACUAAAUCACCAAAUUGCUCACAUUAAAAAAUCUCACAAUACCAACUACUGUUGAGGAUGCAGGACAACUGGAACUCUUAUACAUUGCUGGUGGAAUGCAGAAUGGUGCCUCACUUUGGAAUACUAUUUCUUAUAAGGUUAAAUAUACACAUGUAUAUAUCUCAUUCAUUCAAUUUGCAAUUCCUUAAUGAAAAACGAUGUUGAGGAUCUUUUAUAAGCUUAUUUGCCAUCUGUUUAUCUUCUUUGGUGAGGUAUCUAUUCAGAAGUUUUACCUUUUUUAUCAUUAUUUUUUUUUUAUUGGAGUAUAGUUGCUUUACAAUGUUGUGUUAGUUUCUGCUGUACAGCAAAGUGAAUCGGUUAUACGUAUACCUAUAUCCCCUCUUUUUUAGAUUUCCUUCCCAUUUAGGUCACCUCAGAUCACUGAGUAGAGUUCCCUGUGCUAUACAGCAGGCUCUCAUUAACUAUCUAUUUUAUACAUAGUGGGGUAUGUAUGUCAAUCCCAGUCUCUCAGUUUGUCCGACCCCCGCUUCCCUUCUUGAAUUUUUACCUAUUUUUAAGUUGGUUUGUUUGGUUUUUUACUGCUGAGUUUUAAGAGUUCUCUAUAUAUUUUGGAUACAAGUCCUUUAUCAGAUAUGUGUUUUGUAAAUAUUUUCUCUCGGGCUGUGACCUUUUCAUUCUCUUAACAGCAUCUUUUACAGAGCAGAAGGUUUUCAUUUCAUAAAGUCUAACUUUUCCAUUUUUUUUCUUUUAUGAAUCAUGCUUUUGGUGUUAUAUCUAAAAAUUCACUGCUAAUCUAAGUUACCUAGAUUUUCUCCCGUCGUCCUCUAGACGUUUUACAGGUUUGCAUUUUACAUUUCAGUCUACGAUCUAUUUUGAGUUAGUUUUUGUGAAAGGUGUAAAGUCUGUGUCUAGACUUUUUUUUUUUUGCCUAUGGACAUCCAGUUUUGUAGCACCAUUUGUUGAAAAGACUAUUCUUUUUUCCACUGAAUUGUCUUUGCUCCUUUGUCAAAGAUCUGUUGGCUACUCUUGAAUGUAAAUUAUACUUCAAUAAAAUUGACU